GCAUCAUAGGUCUUAUGGUAGUAGCUGCUGAUAUAUGCUUCUAAACAACUUCCUUGACCUCAAAUUGGAGUAUGCAAGCUUUUAUUUUGCCAGCCUACCCUGCAAUUUUGACUGGCCUACGGGAGGGCUCUGCUGGUACCUUGCAAACGAAAGUUUCCAAGGAAAUGUUCUCAUUGCCACUUUGGAUUGCAGACAAUGGGAAGAAAUUGGCAGGCUCAGACAG